GCGAACGCUGGCGGCAGGCUUCACACAUGCCAGUCGCGCGGGCACUUUCGGGUGUCAGCGGCGGACGGGUGAGUAACGCGUGGGAACGUGCCCUCUGGUUCGGAAUAACUCAGGGAAACUUGAGCUAAUACCGGAUACGCCCUUUUGGGGAAAGGCUUGCUGCCGGAGGAUCGGCCCGCGUCUGAUUAGCUAGUUGGUGAGGUAACGGCUCACCAAGGCGACGAUCAGUAGCUGGUCUGAGAGGAUGAUCAGCCACACUGGGACUGAGACACGGCCCAGACUCCUACGGGGGGCAGCAGUGGGGAAUAUUGGACAAUGGGCGCAAGCCUGAUCCAGCCAUGCCGCGUGAGUGAUGAAGGCCUUAGGGUUGUAAAGCUCUUUUAUCCGGGACGAUAAUGACGGUACCGGAGGAAUAAGCCCCGGCUAACUUCGUG
rnacentral:rRNA from 1 species